AUUGGUGGGAUUGAGAAUCUUUUCCUUGAAAAAGACCAUUUUGCCUUCUGUUUAGAUUUUUUUCCCAAAACAUGUUUUUUUUUCUCCUUUACUUUAUUCUCCAUCUAGUCUGAUUGUCUGAAGCCAUACUUUCUCCUCCAUCUCUUCUGACCUAACCCCUGUAAUCCUCUCCAUCUAGAUCCGGUGAUGAUUGUGUAAAGCCACGUUCCAAAGGAAGCCUCCCAUAUCAUAUCUGUUCAAGUGUGUUUGGUUUAAAAAGAGAAUCACAAGGAAGCAGCGGGACUUUAUAGAAAAUCUUUUCCAUUCUUUAAUGACCUUGCCCCCAUUUUCAAAAAGGACAGAGCACAAGGUAAUGCAAGGAGUGAUCUCCAAGAUGAUGCAAACCAAUAUUUACAUGAAAACAUUAGCCUAAAUGAGAAUAUAGAUUUUUCACAAAUUCCAAGUGAAGAUUUUUUUUUUCCCCAUCGAUAAACCUAUUGGCUCAUCAUCUCCUACUGCUUCAAAUGAUAAUGCCUCAAGUUCUGGACGUCAAAAGAGGAAAAAUCGUGCUAAGGAACAAAUAUUGCAGCAAUUUCUAAAAAUUUUUAGCAAUUUGUGGAAAUGGUUGGACCAAGAUUUAAGACGAUGCCUAAAUGUGCAAUCCCCAAUGCUGAAGCCAACGCACUCAAGGAAGCAGCUCAUAGAGAUGUUCAAGAAAAGAAGAAAUUAUUGAGUAAUGUAAUUUUCAAUGUUGAUGGACUUUUUGAAGAUGAGGCAUUAGUGGUAUUGCAAGCUUUACGGAAAGAUGAAGAUGAGUUGAACAUAUUUUGGGACUUAGAAGAUGAUAAGAAGAUGCAUUUCUGUCAUUUAAUACUAGGAAGAAUGUGAUAUUACAUACCUAAUAUCAUGGACUUUCUCAUAUUUUGUUUCAAGGACUUUCUCUUAUUUUGUUCAACUUUAAGACAUUAGCAUAUUACUGGUUUGUAUGCUCUAGUUUGUAUGUUCAAGAAACAU